GCUGAAUUAACACUGUUUCCACGUCAUUUUAAUUAAAUUAAGUUGAACCAACGUGGAAUAGACAUUGAAUUGACUUCUUUUGCCGAAUGGGUAGCUUCACAAUGACAACGAGCUAGCUAACGUUAGGCACCUAGCUAGAAUUCGUAACAUAUUAUACAUAUUGCUAAUUGGUAAUAUAUUGUACGUUUUGCAAAUUCAUAAAAUAUAAUAUGAAUUAUAAUUUGUCUAAUAUCAUACGAAAUGGUUGAUGGACAUCCACAAAUUAAUUCAUACCAUACGAAAUAUAACAUAUCAUACUAAAUGGAAUGUCUCGGAUUUAAAUACAAAAUAAUAAGAAAUGAUCUGAGGCCAGGUGCACCUACACACACACACACACACACACACACACACAGCAGUAGGCUGUCCAUUGUGUUGACACUGCAGCAGAGAUACACAUUUUGUGUCAACCUGUCACUCAAUCGUUAUAACUUUUAAAAUGUUUUUAUAUUGAGACAUUACAACAAAAACUGAGGGGGCACAAGUUUCAACUGAGGGGGCUAAUCCCUCUUUUGACUAAUCGUGGAACCGGGCCAGCUACAGUAUAGUGUAUAAUUUUUACUUUUCUAAACGUUAAAACAGAGCGUCGAAUGUUUGUUUACAUUGAGACAAAUGCCGGUGUAACACCUGAACCCCUGAAAACCAAUAUACAGAGAAGGGUUUUCGAGAGCUAACGUUAGCAUACUGUAGUUAUCAGCUGAUUUAGUAGUCACACCAUGAUUAACUGUAUAUGGCAAUAAGGAGACGACGACAGUCAUUAACACCAAAUGUAUAUACCGUUACUGUAUAGGUUAUUGGACGAUUUAGACGAUUUUAAAAUGUAAAAUAAACAAAAAUGCUCAAUCAAUUUUAGCUAGCUAGGUACAUUACCUUGGUUUGUUUCCGUAUGUGCGGAUUGGAUUUUGCGAAUCUUUGUUUCACUACUAACAAGUAAAUAGAGGGCACCGUAUCUCAAGACAUGACUGGAGAGAUAUGACUGGAGAGAAAAACUGUUUGGAGAACUGUACCUAGUCAAUGCACUUUGCUGUUUAAUGUAUGCAACUUGCUACUAUGAGUUCAGAUUCGGUUAUAUUGUUGGAGACGGUGACAUUUUCUGCUGAAAACCACCAAGAUCAACGGACUAAAGACCCCAAAGAAACCAACUAUCCAAUAGAUCCUCUUUUUGACCAUUUAGAUGCACCAGGUCCCUAGCAGAGCAAACCACCAGGUCUAAUUGCCCAACAUCAGUGCCCAACUUCACUAAUGCUCUUGUGGCUGAAUGGAAACAAUUCCCCUCAGCAAUGCUCCAACAUCUAGUGGAAAGCCUUCCCAGAAGAGUGGAGGAUGUUAUAGCAGCAAAAGGGGACCAACUCCAUAUUAAUGCCUAUGAUUUUGGAAUGAGAUGUUUGACGAGCAGAUGUCCACAUACCUUUGGUCAUGUAGUGUAUUUUCUUGCAUUACAGGUGCAGUAUAUGUAAAGGGCAGUAAUUGUGAAUGUUAAUAAUUUUAUUCCGCUCUUUAAUUAUCCAAGAUUACAACUUCAAAUGUUUGCAGAGGCGAGGACUUACACAUCCCAGUGGAUGUCUUUCCAUCUUCUGAAGUGUCUUUCUACAACAACAGCCCCAUAACAAAUGAAAACACACCACAGAUACAGUCAACAUUAGAAGUCUUCAUUCAAUCUGAACAGUAAACAGAGGAGAGGACGAAAGAGGUGUCUGGUGGAUGGCUGCCAGGUCACCGUCAUUCACCUUCCUCGUCACCUGCGGCAGGUUCAUGAGUGGGGCAGAGAGGAGGCCCAGUCUGCAGUCAACACAUUCGGCCUCAGAGCACCAAGCAGACAUGAUGGCAGCAGCAGCAGCAAGGCUAAAAACGACUAUCACUCCAGGCCUUUCCCCAUUCUGUCAUGCAGUGGUCAAAAGACUGCCAUCCCACCUGAGAAAGCAACACAAGCUUGAAAAGAACUCUCCUCUUGUCACGACUUCCGCCGAAGUUGGUGCCUCUCCUUAUUCGGGCGGCGUUCGGCGGUCAUCGUCACCGGCUUUCUAGCUACCACCGAUUCAUGUUUCUUUGUCCAUUUGUUAUGUCUUGAUUGUUCACACCUGGUUCCCAUUUCGUUAUGAUUAUUUCCCUAUUUAAACCCUCUGGUUAUCAUGAUGUUUUGUGCGUUAUUAUUUUACUGUUGGUCGUGUUAGUUGUGUUUGUCAUAUUUGUUUUAUCCCUGCGUGGAUUUUGACUGAUGAGCUUUUCUAAGAGUAAAUACGUAUAUUUUACUCAGUUCGGUGUCCUGCGAUUGACUCUAUUUCUCAUCUCCACUACACUGACACUGAUACCUCUAUACAGAGAGCUUCUUACUUCAUCCGGGAGGAGAAAGACACAGACCUGUAGACCAGGAGCCCAACAGACCCAUUGCUUCAUACCGAUCUCUCCUUUGUCAAAACAAACAGAAGACCUGCAUAUUUCGAUUUCCAAUGUUUACGGAGGAAAGGACUUACACAUCCAAGAGGAAGUCCUUCCAUCCUCUGAGGAGUCUAUUGACAACAAGACUCCCGUAACACUGAAAAACAAACUCCAUAAACCUAACAACCAACUUCCGACAAGAGCCGCAAAGCGAAGCAAAGCCCAAAACAAACUCAAAACACUCAACAGUAAACAGAAGAGAGGAGUGAAGAGGUGUCCAGUGGAUGGCUGCCAGGUCACCGUCAUUCACUUUCCUCGUCACCUGCGGCAGGUCCAUGAGUGGGGCAGAGAGGAGGCCCAGUCUGAAGUCGGCCUGAGAGCACCAAGCAGACAUGGUGGCAGCAGCAGCAAGGCUAAAAACAAC
rnacentral:lncRNA from 1 species